AUGUCUGCUAUGGAGAUUUUCGGGCAUGUCAGAGAAGUUGAUUGUUAUCCUAAUAUAUGUGUUUUCUAUCACAUCUUAUUUACUGUGCUUGUGAUGGUCGGAUCAGCCGAAAGAAGCUUUUCAAAGCAAUUAUUGAAGAAUUAUUUGAGGUCAACAAUGACUCAAGUGAUGUUAAAUGGUUUGGCAAGAUUGUCCAUCGAGAAGAAAUUAUUGGAUGGGAUUGACAUCGACCCCAUCAUAUGUGAAUUUGCAUCAAGGAAUGUUUGA
rnacentral:rRNA from 1 species